rnacentral:tRNA from 1 species
GCGGGCGUAGCUCAAUGGUAGAGUGCCAGCUUCCCAAGCUGGACACGCGGGUUCGAUUCCCGUCGCCCGCUCCA